CUCUAUUCUGUGUCUCUGGGGAAACUACUUUAAUCCUCUUCCUUUGUUCAAAUAUACUACAGACAGACCUUAAUUCCAAGCGCAGACCAGGGAGAAAAGCUAAUCCUCGCCCGACCCAUCUUGGAACGUGGGCUAUGAGGUCGUCAUGCCCAAGAAAGAUGCCCACUACUGCCAUCUGGACGAAAGAUCCUCGUGAUCUCCAGAGGUUAUAAGAGGCUGCAAAUUGGCAGGCUCGCCCUCAGAAUUUGCUGGACGCUUGUCCAGAACGUCCUGGCCUGUUCUUCCCCCUUGCUCUCUUGAACUGCCCCAUAUUAAGCAUGUUGCUACUGUAGGCCUAGUAUAUUUCUGCGGCGAGUUAAUUCACUCGGUCGCCCCAUUCCCUUUCGCUUGCCCCCUGAAGUACAAGGAAGAAGUCUCCUCACGACGAUCAGGAGUUGGUCAGCUGUGGUUUCUAUGCAUCAGCCUGUGUGCAAUGCUGGCUCCCCAACUACACCCUCUCUUUACAGUGCCCUUGGAAGCGGGCUUCUACUGGGUUCCCUUCAAAAAAACCCCACACAUUGCUUCUUUCACUAUGUAGUGAGGGGACUGUUGUAUUUUGCCCCAGUUACAUCAAGCAUUCUUGUAAUAUGGUUUUCUAUAGCAAAUACAAUUAGUUAAGUUAA